rnacentral:piRNA from 1 species
UUUUUCGAUGUUAUUUGUGAA